rnacentral:rRNA from 1 species
UACGAAGGGGGCUAGCGUUGCUCGGAAUCACUGGGCGUAAAGCGCACGUAGGCGGCUUUCUAAGUCAGGGGUGAAAUCCUGGAGCUCAACUCCAGAACUGCCUUUGAUACUGGAGAGCUUGAGUCCGGAAGAGGUGAGUGGAACUCCGAGUAUAGAGGUGAAAUUCGUAGAUAUUCGGAAGAACACCAGUGGCGAAGGCGGCUCACUGGUCCGGUACUGACGCUGAGGUGCGAAAGCGUGGGGAGCAAACAGG